UACGUAGGGGGCAAGCGUUGUCCGGAAUUAUUGGGCGUAAAGCGCGUGUAGGCGGUCCGGUAAGUCCGCUGUGAAAGUCGGGGGCUCAACCCUCGGAUGCCGGUGGAUACUGUCGGGCUCGAGUACGGAAGAGGCGAGUGGAAUUCCUGGUGUAGCGGUGUAAUGCGCAGAUAUCAGGAGGAACACCAAUUGCGAAGGCAGCUGGCUAGACCUGGAUUGACGCUGAGGCACGAAAGCGUGGGGAGCGAACAGG
rnacentral:rRNA from 1 species